rnacentral:rRNA from 1 species
UACGUAGGGGGCUAGCGUUGUCCGGAAUCAUUGGGCGUAAAGAGCGUGUAGGCGGCCCGGUAAGUCCGCUGUGAAAGUCGGGGGCUCAACCCUCGAAUGCCGGUGGAUACUGUCGGGCUAGAGUGCGGAAGAGGCGAGCGGAAUUCCUGGUGUAGCGGUGAAAUGACGCAGAUAUCAGGAGGAACACCGAUUGCGAAGGCAGCUCGCUGGGACGUCACUGACGCUGAGACGCGAAAGCGUGGGGAGCAAACAGG